CCAGGGCAAAAUGGUCCGUCUCCAGGAUACGAGAGAGCUUCCCCAGGUUAUCAGUCAGACGGAUCUGAGAAUAGGAUGAGACGUGAGGUUAUCAGUCAGACGGAUCUGAGAAUAGGAUGAGACGUGAGGUUAUCAGUCAGACGGAUCUGAGAAUAGGAUGAGACGUGAGGUUAUCAGUCAGACGGAUCUGAGAAUAGGAUGAGACGUGAGGUUAUCAGUCAAACGGAUCUGAGAAUAGGAUGAGACGUGAGGUUAUCAGUCAAACGGAUCUGAGAAUAGGAUGAGACGUGAGGUUAUCAGUCAAACGGAUCUGAGAAUAGGAUGAGACGUGAGGUUAUCAGUCAAACGGAUCUGAGAAUAGGAUGAGACGUGAGGUUAUCAGUCAAACGGAUCUGAGAAUAGGAUGAGAUGUGAGGUUAUCAGUCAGACGGAUCUGAGAAUAGGAUGAGAUGUGAGGUUAUCAGUCAGACGGAUCUGAGAAUAGGAUGAGACGUGAGGUCAUCAGUCAAACGGAUCUGAGAAUAGGAUGAGAC